UUUGGAAAAAGAAUUAAACAAAAGCGUUAAGCUUUUGUUCGAUCAAAGGUUUGAGAAACUUGAAGCUGAGCGAAAUGCACACAUGGAAAAGAAAAUGCGUGAAUUCGAAAGAAAUUUCACAGAAAGGGCUGGUGAAGAAGCAGUAAAAAAGAUGUCGUUUCUUGAACGCUUCAAACUACUGUUUAUAUAGAGAAAAUGUGUUUGUGGAAGGAAUAUUAUUAACAUAUUUUGAAAAAGUGCAGAUAUUAAUAAUAAUCAUGUUUUCUUUAUGAUUUUUUUCGCAAACAUUCGCUCAAUUUAAACACAUAUUUGUUCGCUUUUGUGUUCGUUUGUUUGUUUGUUUGUUUGUUUGUUUGUUUGUUAGAUCGUUCGUCAUUUGUUUGUUUGUUUUUGAUACUGGUCUUACCGCGCCGAGCACUAUUAUUAUUAAGGUUAAAGUGUCAGUACACGUUUAUUUAAUGUUUAACGUAAAUCUUAGAAUAUAAGGUUAUUUUCUCUAAUAAAUUGAUUGAGCUUUUUAAUUGAACUGAGUCAAAAAGAUCUUUCAGUGAAAUUUUUCGAAACAAACUAUCAUAAAAAAAAAGAAAAAAAUAUUGAAAGUGAAAUAUUAUGCUAUACAAAAUGGAUAAUCGUCUCUUGUUAAAAGGUGAGAAUGUCUUACUAUAGUGUGUACAAUUCGACAUCUAAGAGAAACUUUAUGAUGAUAAAGACAUGUAUAUACUAGUAUCAUGAAUUAUGUUCAUUUCGGCUUUUUCACCCUUUGAUAUCAAUUUCAGUCUAUAUACGUUUCCUUAUAGAAGGUUUUAGUCACUAUUUGGUAAUAAUAAGUCUACUGUUUCAGUAUUGAAUGAUUCUUCAGCCAAAGAUUAUAUUUUGUUAUUUCCUUAUAUUCCUACGUAGCUUUGGAUCCAAUUGAGUGGUUGCCUUAAAGCGUUAAGAAAUCAACAUUGCAACCAACGUUUAUCGGUGCUUGAUCGUAAGAAGCACCCUACUGGGUUCGAACUACUGGAGUCCAUGCAUCACUUAGCUGCAUCACAUGAGGUUGUUUUGAUCUCUGGUGUUUUUAAGUGUGUUACAUCCAUAAUUAUGUUAAUAAUAAUUUAACUGAUAAUAAUUAACUAAAUAAUUUUGUAUUUAUUUUGUUUUGUUUUUUUGUUUUGUUUUUUUUGUGGUUUUUUUGAUUGUUUGUUUUUGUUGUGUCUCUUUGUUCUUUUGUUAUUCUUGUUGUUGUUGUUGUUGUUGUUGUUGUGGGUAAGUUGUGUACGGGUCUUUUUUAAGUUGGCCCCGAUGACAUUAACAUGACUCCCUGCGCAUGUUGUAACCUUUUUUAAAUGAAUUGCUUUAACGAACGUGUUUAUCUCAUAGCACUUAAUCACGUUUAACGAGGUUAAGUGCCCACCACGCUUGAGGGCAGGGAACAUGCUUGCAAAAGUGGCAGUUCACCUAAUGGUAAAUAUCAUAAAGAUUUGACUAAAAAGCGACACCGUAUGAAUUACGUAAAUAUACAAUUAAGAUUACAGAGCUCAGGUUUAUCAAGUUUUUAGUUAUAGCUUAAAAUGUGACUAUGCUAUGCUUUAUUCAUGGUUUGGCUCCAUUCAAAGUCUUGUGUUUUAUAACCUUCUCAUAACUUCAAGAACCGUUACAUGAUAUAACAUAAGGACUUUCGAAAAGUGUUAUGUUCAUUCAUCACAAUGCCUUGUGAAUUCAUGUACAAAAUCAUCGUCCGGGCAAGUUAUAGUACCAGCGUUUGUUUCGGACGUACAUAUAUCACAUAACAAGACUUAAACACUGAUCACUCGAAUGCUUAUAUUGAAAAGAGAAUGGCGUGUACAUGCUUCUCUUUCUAAACAUUGAGUAAGCAAAAUCACGUCUAGAGGCUGAUACAGUUGGUUACAGUUGAUAUUGAAGGAAAAACUUUUUUGUUCUAUUCCCAUGCUUCAGCAUACAGACUUUCUUUUGGCGAUGUUAGGAAUGCGUUAAAGUGAAACGGUAUAUUACCGAGCCUUUUAGCAGAGACUUUUUUAUCGUUUUAAUGAUUAAGGGGAUUCGAUCCCCAGAUUCAUUAUACAAAAACAAAUUAACUUUUAGAUAUUUAAAUUUACCUCUUUUUAUCUUUAAAAACUAUGUCAGGUAUAAAUUUGUGUCAAUCCGUGUUAUUCGUACGUUAAAAAAAUAUACUCAUAACUAAAUUUAGUCCCUAGACUUGACUGUUACAUAGAUAUGAAAAUUUAAGAUUAUCAAUUAUCAAUAAUUACUUAAAUGAUUACGAUUAGUUAAAAAAAUAUAUGUUUAUCAUUGGCUAAUUGUCUAACACGUUUUUAUCGUCCUUAACCUAUAUUUCUGUGUUGCUUCGUAUGUAUGUUGUUUGUUCUUUGUUGUUUUUAAAGGGAGCUUUGUCACUCUUCCAUUUUGGUAUUUCCUUUUUAAAUUUUUUAAUCGUUUCGUACAUGUUUAUUCACUGAGCAUAUCUUGAAUAAUUAUUUUGAGAUUUAAAAGGAUAUAAAUAGAUAGAAAACAAUAUAUGGAAUAGAACUUUAGAAUUUUCAUUGUAUAUAGAUGCGUAGAAGGUAGCUUUAACUUACAACUGCCGUCCAUGAUAAGGCACAAUUCAACCGACCACUGCACAUGAAAACAAACCUAAAGUUUUAUAAUCUUGCUGUUUUGGCAUUCUUCUACAAUUCCGCUUUUUAUUAAUAAGGCCUGUUUUAAGACGACAGAGGUAAUUUCAAGCUACAAUCAACCCUUAUACUUGUUGUAACUAUUUUUUUAUAUUUGACCAUUAGCGAUAUGAUAUGUUUGAUGCUUCCCUUGAUUUUUAAAUGUUAAUGAGAUUAUUGUAUUGUUAUUUGAUAUUGUAGACAACAUAUAUUGCUGUACACUAGUAAUGUCUUUCCUUUAGAUAUUAAUUCAUUAACAUUAAUUCUAACACGAUCCCCAUUUUUCCCUAUUGAACAUAGAAGAUCCGAAAGUUAUUAUGCAAUAGAGUCACUGUUUAACGUUCUGUAUUUAGACAUGUGACGUAAUCAUUAUACAUGUGACGUAAUCACUAUAAAAUCCGACGCGCUGACAAUAAGUACGGAAACAAAUCAGGCGCAUUUUGCUUAAUAGCAGGUACUGUAGCAUGUAUUUGUUUAUGUCGUGUUAGACUCGAAAUAAUAUAUCCAAAUCGUGAUGUUAUUGAGCGAUAAAAUCACAGUUUGGGAUAUAUUAUUUCUUAAACAACGUGUACUAGUAUUUGAAUAACACAAUAAAGGUAACUGGACAGUUACGUUAGGCGUAAACAGAAGACAUCUGCAUUAGAAAUUGUAUACAUUAAGAAUCUUUAUUGACAUAAACAGCUACCUUUAAUUGACAAAAUGAACCUCACCUCAAUUUGAAAAGAGAUUAAGAAAAGAAAAUAUAACUACUUUCAAGAAAACUUCUUCUUUGCAGAGUGCUGAUGAUCAAUGUCAUAGAAGUCCCAUGUCUGCAACGACUACAUUAUGUCGUUUUGUAAUUGCGAAUUUCUAAAGUUAUAUGACUUUUGUUUAUGAAUGUCUAACAAAAACUUUGUUUAAGCUUCAUUUUUUCGGCGACACAAGGAGGAAUUUUACGAACCUUCUAGCGUUGGUGACGCUGGUUAACCUAUAUGGUUUACCUUUUUAAAAAUAGGUUUUAUUGAAUGUUAUAUUGGCAUAAUUAAAAGGUUACCUGCUG